rnacentral:rRNA from 1 species
UACGUAGGGGGCAAGCGUUGUCCGGAAUCAUUGGGCGUAAAGAGCGUGUAGGCGGUUCGGUAAGUCGGCUGUGAAAGUCCAGGGCUCAACCCUGGGAUGCCGGUCGAUACUGCCGGACUAGAGUUCGGAAGAGGCGAGUGGAAUUCCCGGUGUAGCGGUGAAAUGCGCAGAUAUCGGGAGGAACACCUAUGGCGAAGGCAGCUCGCUGGGACGUUACUGACGCUGAGACGCGAAAGCUAGGGGAGCAAACAGG